GUCCAGGGGCGGGAAUCGAACCCACAUCGUUCCGCUUACCGGGCAGAUGCCAUGUCCACUAGGCUACCCUGGA